rnacentral:lncRNA from 1 species
GGUGAGCCCCCCAGGUGUGUCCCCCCCCAUUCCCCAGCGUGCCCCCCGCCCUCCCAGGUGUGCGGGAGUUCACCUGCGACACCUGCGGGAAAUCCUUCAAGCGCAAGAACCACCUGGAGGUGCACAGGAGGACGCACACCGGGGAGACCCCGCUGCAGUGAGUGAUGGAGGGGGGGUCCUGCCCUGGACUCGGAGCCCCCCGGGAGGGCGAGGGGGGGUCCCCGGGCACACCUGACACCCACCUUGUCCCCCCGCAGGUGUGAGGUGUGCGGGUACCGCUGCCGCCAGCGCGCCUCCCUGACGUGGCACAUGCGGAGACACGGGGGGCUCAAGAGCCACCCCGAGCCCCGCGGCACGUAGGGACCCCCCCGGACUCACCUGAGCCCCCCUGGACUCACCUGGGCCCACCCGGAUUCACCUGGGACCCCCUGGACUCACCUGGGACCCCCUGGACUCACCUGGGCCCGGGCCCACCCGGAUUCACCUGGAGCCCCCCAGGACUCACCUGGGCCCACCCGGAUUCACCUGGGACCCCCUGGACUCACCUGGGACCCCCUGGACUCACCUGGGACCCCCUGGACUCACCUGGGACCCCCUGGAUUCACCUGGGCCCCCCUGGACUCACCUGGGUCCACCCAGAUUCACCUGGGACUCCUCCAAACUCAUCUGGGCCCCCCCUGGACUCACCUGGGACCCCCUGGACUCACCUGGGACCCCCUGGAUUCACCUGGAGCCCCCCAGGACUCACCUGGGAACCCUCCAGAUUCACCUGGGCCCCCCAGGACUCAGCUGGGACCCCCCCCAAACUCACCUGGGCCCCCCCAGACUCACCUGGGCCCCCCCAGACUCACCUGGGCCCACCCGGAUUCAUCUGGGCCCCCCCAGGACUCACCUGGGAACCCCCCAGAUUCACCUGGGACCCCCAGGACUCAGCUGGGACCCCCCCAAACUCAUCUGGGCCCACCCGGAUUCACCUGGGCCCUCCCUGGACUCACCUGGGCCCAUCCAGACUCACCUGGGCCCCCCCCCAGGACUCACCUGGGCCCCCACCUGCUCGCCGGGACCCCCAGAUGUUCCUGCAGCUGCGCCUGGAGGUGAAGAAGAACCACCCGGGGGGGUCCUGAGCCCCUCCCCAGGACACCCCGAGCACCUGAGGGGCCCCUCGGGGGUCUCCUUGUGUGUGUGUCCCCCCCCCNNNNNN